CCUACGGGUGGCAGCAGUAGGGAAUAUUGCUCAAUGGGGGAAAGUCUGAAGCAGCAACGCCGCGUGGGGGAUGAAGGUUUUCGGAUUGUAAACCCCUUUUGUUAGAGAAGAUAAUGACGGUAUCUAACGAAUAAGCACCGGCAAACUCCGGGCCAGAAGCCGCGGUAAUACGGAGGGUGAAAGCGUUACGCGGAAUGACUGGGCGAAAAGAGUGCGUAGGCGGGUUAGCAAGUCAGAUGUGAAAUCCUACGGCUUAACCAUAGAACUGCAUUUGAAACUGUUAUUCUAGAGUAUGGGAGAGGUAGGUGGAAUUCUUGGUGUAGCGGUAAAAUCCGUAGAGAUCAAGAGGAAUACUCAUUGCGAAGGCGACCUGCUAGAACAUAACUGACGCUGAUGCGCGAAAGCGUGGGGAGCAAACAGGAUUAGAUACCCCUGUAGUC
rnacentral:rRNA from 1 species